ACGCCCCGCACACAACCGAAGGAUAUAGUUAGCUUAUUAAUUACUCGGCAUCCGUGCCACGUAAGCUUGGUAGUUUUUAGGGUCAACAACAUGUAAUGAAAUGUUGUUUUAUUAAUAUAUUCCACCACACUAUGGCCAACAUUUUCUUUGUAUGUAUGAAUUAGCCUAAAACCCUCAAACCUUCCCUUUGGGCAUGACAUUGCCAUGGUUCCUUCAACCCCAGCCCUAAAUUCAUCCCUCUUUUCAUUCCCUAUUUCAACCUACUAUUUCUUCUCCUUCAUCAUGCCAAUUCAUCUCUCAUCCUUAAUCAAGUUUGAGAUUUAGUGCUCACAAUCUAAAAUAAAUUUGUUGCAAAACGUACUUUAAUUUGAUGAUGUGUUGGUGGUUGGUAGAUGAAGGGGUUUGGUUGCGGGGCAAAGAUUAAAAUAAAGGGAGUUUUAACGAAACACUUCCGGUACUGUUCACUUUUAACGAAAAACCAUUUUUUUACAUUUUUCUGGUACUAUUCACUACACCUUUAUUUGUCAUUUUUCAUUAAAACUAAAGUUUUUUUUUUGGACCUUUCGUUAGUUUUCCUAUAAAUCAAAAGAAAAUUAAUAAAAAGGGUUUUAAUACUUUGAAAUUUAACAAAAAACCAUGUAAUAAUUUUAUUUAAUAAUUAGGACAAUACCAAUACCAAACCAGCCCAAUAAGACUGACUCACACAA
rnacentral:lncRNA from 1 species